GGACGAACGCUGGCGGCGUGCUUAACACAUGCAAGUCGAGCGGUAAGGCCCUUUGGGGUACACGAGCGGCGAACGGGUGAGUAACACGUGAGUAAUCUGCCUUUUGGCUUGGGAAUAACUUCGGGAAUUGGGCUAAUGCCUGAUGUUUACUGUCUGCUGCAUGGUGGGUGUGGAAAGAUUUUUUGGCCAGGGAUGAGCUCGCGGUCUAUCAGCUUGUUGGU
rnacentral:rRNA from 1 species